rnacentral:rRNA from 1 species
UAACGCGUGAGUAACCUGCCUCUAAGAGGGGAAUAACAUUCUGAAAAGAAUGCUAAUACCGCAUAACAUACAUUUAUCGCAUGGUAGAUAUAUCAAAGAUUUAUCGCUUAGAGAUGGACUCGCGUCCGAUUAGUUAGUUGGUGAGGUAACGGCUCACCAAGACUGCGAUCGGUAGCCGGACUGAGAGGUUGAACGGCCACAUUGGGACUGAGACACGGCCCAG